GAUGAACGCUGGCGGCGUGCCUAAUACAUGCAAGUCGAGCGAACAGACGAGGAGCUUGCUCCUCUGACGUUAGCGGCGGACGGGUGGGUAACACGUGGAUAACCUACCUAUAAGACUGGGAUAACUUCGGGAAACCGGAGCUAAUACCGGAUAAUAUAUUGAACCGCAUGGUUCAAUAGUGAAAGACGGUUUUGCUGUCACUUAUAGAUGGAUCCGCGCCGCAUUAGCUAGUUGGUAAGGUAACGGCUUACCAAGGCGACGAUGCGUAGCCGACCUGAGAGGGUGAUCGGCCACACUGGAACUGAGACACGGUCCAGACUCCUACGGGAGGCAGCAGUAGGGAAUCUUCCGCAAUGGGCGAAAGCCUGACGGAGCAACGCCGCGUGAGUGAUGAAGGUCUUCGGAUCGUAAAACUCUGUUAUUAGGGAAGAACAAAUGUGUAGGUAACUAUGCACGUCUUGACGGUACCUAAUCAGAAAGCCACGGCUAACUACGUG
rnacentral:rRNA from 1 species